UUCGCCGGUGCAUCCGUCAUACGCGUCGCCGGCUUUGCCUCCACUUCCUUUGCAUGUGCCUUCGGCGCUGCGUUUCCGCCGUGGCCUGGAUCAGCUGCUUCCUCGGCCGGGGUUCUCGCGGCCAUCGGCGGGACUCCUCUGCUGCUCUUCCUGCCUCAGCUGUUGGUUCAGCUGGUGCUGCUGCGUUCGAUCGGCCAUCUUCUGGUUCUGGGUCUCCUGCUUUACCUUAUGUUGCUUCUUUGUCUGCCAUACAACUGCCCGGAGGAGGUGUAGGCCGGGGAUCAGGUCGUCGCCGCGGCCGGUCGUUCUCCCUUUCUGCUUCUCUGCGUGCACGGGCGCCGUUCCGAGGAUACUCCUUCCGAUGUGUGUUACUCUUGCCGGUUCUGCUGUCCGUCUUCCUGGGCCUGAUAUACCUGUUGUCCACCAUUUUGGUUUUCCUAUGAUCCACACCAUACUGGGUCUUCUACGGACAUUUCUUUCCGCCGAUCUCUUGCCUCUCCUUCGAUGUUAGAUGACAUACAAUCUCGGAGGCGAGAGAUAAGUUUAGGCAAGCGUCCUGUUGAAGAGGAGAUUUACAUAGGUGACAAUGCAAGAAACAUCAGUCAGAGAUAUCAAACCUCGAGGAUCUCCGAGGCGUGCUGUUGUACGCAUUUCCCGGUCAGGGGAGAACCGGAACAGAGACAACCACCUCUAUGAGAUUGGUUUCAUGUUUGUUGAUCAUUUGGGUACCACCAUAGAAGGUUCCCUGCUCGAACACCGUAUGGAUCAAUUCAGGGACAAACUAAAAGAGGGAAAAGUAUACAAACUAGAGUCCUUCAUGAUUGUUGAUCCCCGGACCAGUUAUAGAGCAACAGAUCACUGCCAUAGGUUCCGAAUCUCACAAAACACAAAGAUAAAUGAAAUGCUGCUUGAGCCUGAAAACUUUCCUCUAUAUGGGUAUGAUGCAAAAUCCUUUGAUGAUGUCCGGCUCGUGUGGACGACCCGGAAAUCCUAUCAGAUGUUGUCGGACUGGUGACCAUGGUUUCAGACGUCAUUCCAUCAAAGACAGGAGAUCAAUCAAGAAGACACAUUUACAUAAAAAAUGAAAGGUAU